rnacentral:rRNA from 1 species
CUAGCUUGCUAGAACUUAGAGACAGGUGCUGCACGGCUGUCGUCAGCUCGUGUCGUGAGAUGUUGGGUUAAGUCCCGCAACGAGCGCAACCCACGUAUUUAGUUGCUAACGGUUCGGCCGAGCACUCUAAAUAGACUGCCUUCGUAAGGAGGAGGAAGGUGUGGACGACGUCAAGUCAUCAUGGCCCUUAUGCCCAGGGCGACACACGUGCUACAAUGGCAUAUACAAUGAGACGCAAUACCGCGAGGUGGAGCAAAUCUAUAAAAUAUGUCCCAGUUCGGAUUGUUCUCUGCAACUCGAGAGCAUGAAGCCGGAAUCGCUAGUAAUCGUAGAUCAGCCAUGCUACGGUGAAUACGUUCCCGGGUCUUGUACUCACCGCCCGUCACACCAUGGGAGUUGAUUUCACUCGAAGCCGGAAUACUAAACUAGUUACCGUCCACAGUGGAAUCAGCGACUGGGGUGAAGUCGUAACAAGGUAACCGUAGGAGAACCUGCGGUUGGAUCACCUCCUUUCUAG